AUGAGGUGCCACAAGGCACGAAGGAACAAGAAGGGGAAAGGUGUUGCGCCUGUCGUUCCGGAACGAAAGAGAGGAAUCAUUCUCAAGACGGAAUGCCCUGUCCAGUGUAAGCUAAACGUAGAUGAAGCACAGUGGGUGGUCACUGAAUAUUUUGAUGAGCACAACCACAAACUCAUAAAGAAGUUCGACCUGGUGAAGUUUCUAACCGCCCACAGAGGAUUCACCCCCCUUGAAAAGAAAUUCAUAAAGCCGCUACAUGAUUGUAACGUCGGUCCAUCAAGAAUGGUGCAGAUACUAUCACUCAUCCACAACAAAAAUGGGACUCUGAGUAGCAUGCCCUACAUACCAGCUGACGUCACAAAUCUAAAGGCAAAAUAUCGUAGAGAGAGCAAGUUGGCUAACAUAGAAGCCACGAUGGCCUACUUCGAUGAGAAAGCGAAGGAAGAUCCAUAUUUCUUCUACAUGAUAAGAUUGGACGAUGAGGACUGUGUCAGGAACAUGUAUUGGGUGGAUGGUGUUGCAAGAAGAGCCUACAAACAUUUCCGAGAUUGCAUUUCAUUCGACGCGACGUAUCUCACUAAUACGUACAAGAUGCCAUGCGCUCCAUUCAUAGGAAUAAAUAACCACAACAUGGAUGGGUACGUUUGGCUGUUGAAGACCUUCUUAGAGUGCAUGGAUGGACUUGCUCCGAUGAACAUAAUAAUAGACCAGGAUUCUAGCAUGCGUGCAGGCAUAGAGGGGGUCUUUCCGUUGGCAGUGCACAGGCACUGCACGUGGCACAUUAUAAAUAAGGCUGAGGAGACGCUAGGACCGUUCUUUGCUACUAUGCAACACAGCGAGGGGUUCAAUGCUGUUUUGUUUGAACGAGACAACAUUGUGUGCUAUCACAUACUAAAAGUAAUGGACAUGAAUGCGGUGACACGGAUGCCCCGCCAUUUCAUAAGGCGGCGAUGGACUUGGGAUGCUGACGACGCCUUGGCGCCGCAGACAACAAACGCAAUUCUGGCUGUGCAUGACGAGAGACCGGAGUUAACCAUGGAAGCCGUGAGGCACGUUGUGCUGACAAAGAACUAUGCUGAGCUAAUUGAUGAAGCAUGCAAGAGUGAUGAGACAGCGAGAGUCACAGAAAAACACAGGAAGGCCCUGAAAAGAGAGCUUGAUGAGAUCAAGAAGAGGAAAGCUGAGGAAGCCUUGCACAGGUUCCCCCCACAUCAAGUGUGCCUUCGUCUACAGGGCCAUCAUCUGAAAACUCGGAGAUAG
rnacentral:rRNA from 1 species